rnacentral:rRNA from 1 species
UAUGAAGUUGGAAUCGCUAGUAAUCGCGGAUCAGCAUGCCGCGGUGAAUACGUUCCCGGGCCUUGUACACACCGCCCGUCACACCAUGAGAGUCGGGAACACCCGAAGUCCGUAGCCUAACUUAUCUGAGAGGGCGCGGCCGAAGGUGGGUUCGAUAAUUGGGGUGAAGUCGUAACAAGGUAUC